ensembl:lncRNA
AGAUCGGGGCGCGCGGGGCUUGAGUCCCGGCCCUCCGGCUGUCCCGCUGCCCAUGUAGGAGACCCAGACCAUUUCUUGCGUCUGCACUUCGAUUAUUUCACUAAAAUAGUUUUUGACUUUUAAAGUUCACGAGACGCUCUCGUCUGUGUGGUCGGGGCUUCGCUGACUUUCCCAGCCUACUUAAGCCCCUGGGCCUGGGCCCCAGGAAAGAAAAAAACCCUAAAUGUUUUAAAAGGGUGGCUGGAGGUGACCUCGUUCUGCAUUCAAGGUUAAAAAUCUGAAAAUUAGAAUAUGUGCUCUCAGCAAGAGUAUCUUCUAAAUAAUCAUUCAGCAUGAAACUUGAGCCCCAUAAGCUGAAAAUUACACUCAAGACUUUCCUGAGAAAUGCUCCCCAGUGACAUAUUUAUUUAACCCCCCUUCGAUGAGUCAUUGAUUCCAGGUAAAUCAGAGGAACAGACAUCAUGAACAGAAAUAAUACAGGAAGUGAUGUGAUGCCGAAGUUUAACUGUUGUUCCAGAAGUCCAGCAUCUGUGGCUCAUAACUUUAGGAACUGUAUCAUUUGCAAGGUCACCUAACUUUUACUCAUAUUGGGUUGGCCAGAAAGUUCACUCAGUUUUCCUGUAAGCUGAGAGAACCCGCACGGACUUUUUGGCCAACCCAAUACAGUAAGUUUUGUUUGUUUGUUUUUGUUUUUUUUUAAAUAAAUAUUGACAGUUUGUUCCAGAAAACCUAAAUUGUAAAUUGCCUACUCUAAGCUGCCUGAUUCUCUGCUUGUGUUCACUGGAAUAGGGAGAAGAAUUUGCAAACUGAUUAUGUGAGGGUCCGAAAUGUAAAACCGAGCCGUGGGGAGUAGCCUGUUUUUUGCCUGGUGUGUAAUAUCGGCUUUGCCUGUUACAACUGACAGACAUUUUAUUAAGUUGAGAAUAUAGCUGUCAUUAAAGACUAAGAAUAAUCCUUGAGCAGGAAGAAUAUGAACCCUAUGUUUUCCAAAAUUACGAUAGAGUUGCUGGUUACAGUCAAGUAUGGUGAGACCGUCCGUGAAAGGCAAGGACAUGGAAAAGCAAGUGGGAGUUCUUUCC